GCCCGCGGGGCCCGGCCCCAGCCCGGGGCCGUUUCCCUGUCCCCGAGCCGGCACCACGGGGACGGGGCGGGUUUGCUCCCAGAUCCCGGCGGUGCCUCUCCCUGCAUCCUGGCGGGUCCCUGGAUUUGAGGAUCGCUAUGAAUCUUCCCUGAUGAGAGGGAAAACACAAACACACAGUAUUUUCCUGCUUUCAGCAGCAUCUCCCUGGGCUGGGUUUCCUCCCACACCUUUUCCUCUCAAUCCUUCCACCUCCAGGCAAAGCCAGAUCUGGGAUGGUUCCACACGAGUGACCCCAGAAAUAAAUGGAGGUGGUUUGGAAACAAAAGCUUCGAGGAGGACUGGAAGGAAAGGGAGGCUGGAAACAGCACGGCACCAUCCCCUCAUCCUGCUGGGAGGCAAAUCUACUGAGAAACUGCUUAAUGUGACAGAGUUCCUGGGUUUUAGCAUCUCCCCAGAUCCAGCCGAGGCAAUGAACUGUCCAGCAGGGAAGGAACCCAAAUUCUAACCACAGCCAUGGAGCUGCUUCAAAUCCUGGACAUGCAGGAAGGAACCCAGGAGGCAACAGGAGAGAUGGGAGAUCUCCCCAGGGAGAUGGGAACCGUGGCUGGAGACCACGGGGGCAAAGCAGAGCCACCCAAACACGAGUGAAGUACAGGCUGGGGAGACUUGGAAACACACGGGCAGGGGGCUGGAAAAGCUGGGGGAAACCUUGGAAACACACGGGCAGGGGGCUGGAAAAGCUGGGGGAAGAGGCUGACAGGCAUGCCCAGUGUGCAGGAACAGGGGUGAGGAGGGCUGGUGGUUUGUCACCAAAAAUGAUACAAAAAUUAUCUUGUGGGCACAGAAACAGCAGUGAAGACUCAAUUUAUUAAAAAAUUCCAGAAGUCGCCGAUUCCAAAUAUCUUUAUUUUGCAGAGAGCAGCGUUAACCAGCACAGACAGGAGGAUCUCCAGAGCCAUCUCCCAGAUCUGGCAGCUCCUGGGAUGAGCUGGGCUGGACCAGCCCCUCCAGCCAAGCCUGUGCAGAGGCAGCAGCUCGUUAACGAGCCAAGUUUCAUUAACGAAUUCCUUUAUCCCCAGGGCUGGAGCAUCCCGAGUCCCAAACCCAGCCUGGCCACGACAAACCACCAGCCCUCACCAGGAAAGCUCCUUCUCUCCACCCAGACUCCAACCCCGCUCACAGGAUGUGAUGGAGGAGAGGGGCUUUGCUCCCAGCUAAAGUGACUUCAUACACAAUUCCUGCCCUGGACUGGGAAGAAUCCUGGGAUUUAAAUCCAGCACCCCCAGUGCUGGUGACACAGAGCAGGGCACUGACAGGAGUGCUGGGGUCACUGUUGGGUUUCCUGAGUGCCAAGGGAAAGGAUGAAUUCCCUGGGAUGGAGGGAGGGGUCCCUCUGCUUCAGCCAGCGCUGGAGUAUUUUAUUCCAUUCUAUCCACUUUCUUUAAGACCAAGUAACAGAGCUCAGGAAAGAUCCACAAGUUAAAACAGAAAACUGUGACUGGAGGGAUUUCUGAGGACAAAAUAUGAUUGAAAGGAAGGUUGGCAAAGCAAUGGCAGGGAAAAGAGCCAUGGUGACAGUGACAGGUAAUAAAGGACCAAAUCCCAAGCAGGAAGAGCUCAUGGAGUUGGUGCUAAGGGAUACAGGAAUAUUUAGGAGGACAAAAUUAAAAGGGAAAAAACCUGUACUUGAAGCUAAACAGCAAACAAGUGUCCAAUGUGUCUGGACAACACUGCAGGGCUCCUCCCCUGCCCAAUCCCACUGUUUCCCUGAAACCCUGUCCUGUCCCUCCUGCUCCCAGCUUUCCUGCCACAUUCCCUCCCUGCUGCACCGACCGGGACACAACUGAGCUGCCUCCUAACACAAAUGAACUCCUCAUCCACCUGCUCCAGCUUCUACCUCCAAGCACAGGGAAAUCCCAAGUGGAACUCAAGGCUGUGUCAGGUCUUACCUUUGAGGGAAUUCAGCGAGAACAUCUCCAUCCCCGUGGAAAGGGUGGGUUCCUGGGACAGCAGGAGGGAGCACAAAGAAACAGCAAGUUAGAAUUGAUACUUCCUUUAAAAUGUUUCAGGUGCUUCUGCUUUGUCUCCGUGGUGACAAUGAGGGUUUUUAAAAAGCUCGUUAGGCCAGGAUUAAGUAGAGUAUUGCCAUUAUUCCCUUUAAAGGAAAAAAAAAAAAAAAAAGCCAGGAAGAAAAAGAGAACUGUACUUUUGAUAACGUUCUUUGCUGAAACUGUGUUAAACUUGCUAUUUAAUUUCUUACUAAAAUAACUUUCACUCAAGACAAAACCAACUUUGCUUUGGGGUGUUUUAUCUGUCAUGCCAACUAUUAAAUACACUGUAGAAAUUCUUGGAAACAAUAACAAGGAUUUUCUAACAAACUUGUAUCGGGUGGGAGAGGAUUGAAGGUCAUCAUUUACACACAAAGUUGAAGUUUGGAGCUGGACUUCCAUGAUCCUGGUGGAUCCUUUCCAAGUCAGGAUAUUCUGGGAUUCUAUGGACAUUAACUGUCCCUAUGAAUGACUUCCUGUGCAUGCAAUUAAUAGCCUGCAGUUAUCAUUCAGAUUACUCACUUUUGCUUUCAGUAAGACAAAAUUACUUCAGCAGCAAAAAAAAAAGGCUUCAAAUAAACCCACCCCGUUUUCUGGCCACAUCUCUGGAUGUGACACCUUGUUUGUGGUUCCCUCCCCACGGACACACGGACACCAACCUGCCGUGGCUGCCAGGGCCACACCCGGCCUUGCCCAAGGACCAGAUCAAUAAAAACAGAGUUCUUGACUUGGCAAAAAUGAAA